GCGUCGGUGGUGCAACGGUUAGCAUACGCUCCCGGAAAGAGUGAGGUAAGGGUUUGAGUCUCGGCUGACGCA